GGCUCGGGUCACCGCCCGCACGCCGGCCGUUGGGAGCCGGGCAGCGCCCAGCGCCCCGCUGCAGCCCGCCGGGGGCGCCGGGGGAGGGGGGCUCGGGGCGGGGAAGCCGCCGAGCUUCGCCCGCCGUCCCCCGCGAGAGGAGCGGGGCCGCCGCUCGCCGGUGACAGAGCCCAACUUCAGCGGGGGAAAGCCGCCCCGCGGGCACCGGAGAGCGGCGCCGCACAGCAGCCGCACCUGACCCGCUAACUCCCCCCCCGCCCCGCUCCCUCCCGCGGGAGGGCGGGGGGCGGCUGCGGCGAGGCACAGAGGCGGCCCGUCUCCUCGGCGGGGCGGCCAGUGCCGGCAGCGCCGGGCGACGCGUAUCUCCUCAGCGAGCCCGCCGGAGAAGGAGGAGGAGGAGGGGGCGGGGGGGACUGGGGCGCGCCCCGCGCGCCCGUUAGUUGUCACCUCCAUCGGUGAUGCCGCGGCGACCGCCAGCGCGGCCUCCACCCUCCACCCCCGGAAGACGCCGCCGGGCUUUCCUGAGGUAAUUCUCUAAUGGACCAAUGAAAGCCAACGAUGACAAGUUGUGGUCAACAGUCCUUGAAUGUGCUGAUGGUUCUGCUUUCAUUACUCUUAUCAGCAGUGUUGUCUGCACAUUUUCGGGUCUGCGAGCCAUAUACAGACUACAAAGGUCGCUACCACUUUGGUUUUCACUGCCCCCGUCUUUCUGACAAUAAAUCUUACAUCUUUUGCUGUCACCAUAACAACACAGUGUUUAAAUACUGCUGCAAUGAGACAGAAUUUCAGACUGUUAUGCAGAUGAACUUAACAGGCAAUGCAGAUGGAUAUAUGCAUAACAACUACAGUGCACUGUUAGGAGUGUGGAUCUAUGGCUUUUUUGUGGUGAUCUUGCUGAUACUGGACCUUUUAUAUUACUCUUCAAUGAACUAUGAUAUUUGCAAAUUUUACCUGGCACGGUGGGGAAUCCAGGGAAAGUGGAUGACACAGGGACAGAGCCGCUGGAUUAACCCUGCUCAGGAUCCAAGCCAAGUCCAGGCGCAGCCUCAGCCAGAGACACAGCCUCAAACUCAGCCACAGCCUCAAACAUCACAGACAGUACAUACUUUAAAAGGAGAUGCUUUAAGUCCAUCCCUGAUGUCUUUUCAGGGUACAUCUGCCUGCAAAAAACGGGGAAUGUAUGUUAGGAUCAGUAUGGAAACCAUCUGAGGGCUGUCCAAAGGCCUGUGUGGCCUGAAGGUCCUGGUGGAUCUACCUUCCGCAACCCAAACACCGUCACAGACUGCGAGUGAAUGAGCUUAAAUGGUCGUGGCUUGCCUCACGGUGGUUCCUCCAGGUCAUGGCUGAGGUGCAUGAGCUGGACCCUUCCACGCUCACUGGUUCAUAACUGUGUUCAGGAGUAUCAACCAUUUCAGGAACUAUCAAAUGAAAAACAUUGCUACUAACUGAAAAAAUACUUGACUUUCAGAAGCAUAGGAUUACUUCAGAAACCAUUCUUCACAAAAAUUAUAUUGAUGUGCCUCAAGAUGGGAGAGGUAAGAUCAGACUUCAAGGAGCAGCUUUCAAGAAAAUCAGCUAAAUUACAAGAGUUGAAAAGCAGGAAAGAGGAAGACUACAAGAGGGAGAUUGAGCAAGUCACCUGAAGAGAAACAUCAUUCAGACAACUUCUAUAGGCAAACUAUAUAGAAAGAGUCUCCAGAAGAAAGUAGCAUGUAAGCAAUAUUUUAAUUCUAGACUGACAAUGCUAUCUCUGAAAAGAAGCAUCAUAUCUGAGGAAAUGCUUAAUAGGAAGAAAAUUAAGUUGCUCUGGCAAAUCCACACAAAGGUGGAAAAAGAUCACAAAACAAACCUUUGGUAGAUAACUUUUCUUUGCCUUCCCAUCCAUCUAUUGCCAUUUGAGCCUAAUCUAAGUGUCAGAAUACUGAAUGUGAGUUUUUCCAAAGUUCUCUGGUGAAUAUUUUGUCACAAUAGGGUAGAUGCUGGCAAUCCCCAUCACUGUUAAUCAUAUUGUCAUCUGCAUUACAAGGUAAGUGAAGCCCUGUCAUUGAGUCAAACUGCGGGGUAGCAGUCGUUUCAACCUUAGUACACAUUUUAAGAUAAUUGGCAAUGAUUCUGCUAAGAUAUCAGACAUCUGAGCACAUCUUGGCUUCAGCUUCACCCAGCCUCCUGAAGAGGGGAGCUUUAUUAUGAAGCAACACAGACACACCACUCCACCCACAUACUCCUAGAAGCCGAAAGAGAAACAGAAGAAAAUCAACAAACUAUAUAUCUCAAAAGCAAUAAUACCAUUGUCCCUCUGUUUUACAAGGCAAUAGUGCAAUUCAUUUAGCCACCAACUGGCUUCAGAGUUUACCCCUCACAAAUCUAACGUUUCUAAGCCAGAAAGGCAAUGAUGCUACCACAGAAGUAUGUGGAGUACUUGGUCAUUAGAUUGCAAUAGCUUGACCUAACUUUCCACAGGACAGGUUUAUUUUAAAACCAUACAGUAUCAAUUACAUGAGCAAAUCCUGUGAAAUUCAGUUAUUUAAUGGAGAACCUGUCAACGACAACCAAACAGAAGAGUUCAUCUAGAAAUCAUAACAUAAAGCCAUGAUAAUCCCAAAUUAAUCCUUCAUGCCUAAUACUUCAUCCUGCAAAUCUGAAUAACUUUAAAAUACCUGUGUAUUUUACUGUAUAACAAACAUGAGAAACACCUUGUCGACAAACAAUUAAGUUUGCCUUUUGUACCUCUUUGAGUGAAUUUUAGUCUUCUGUUACACUCAAAAGGGAUAGACUACUGAGUGAUUUGAGCUAAUUCACAGCUACCAGGGUGCACGAUGGUACAUGACCAAAGCCGUGCAGGAUUAAAUAGUGCUGGGGGACCCAACAAGGCUGGAGACCACAGCAGUGCUCAGUCUUCAAAAGAGGCCCAGUCUGAGCAGGAUACCAAAUAUGCAUAUGGCCCCUUUUCUUUGCAAAGCAACUAGUAAAAAAUGCUGAGCAUUAAUGAGUAAAGGCAGGCAGCAGCUAAUACAAAAAAAUUCAAAUGCUACAGGUGGGAGCGCCGCUCUGCAGGCAUUAGACUUCAUCCCGUCCUGGGUAAGCUUAAGGUCUGGUCCAUUCUCACGCUUCACAAAUGCUGCUGCAUGUGCACCUCUGCAUGCAGCUCAGCUUGUAGAGGCCUAACGGCUCUGCCACAGUGCAGCUGGGGUGUUUUACAUUGUGAGGAACACCACACUUCAAAUAAACUACUAUUUUUUAAACCUUGAUGCACACUGAACCCAAGAGACUCUAGUUUUCUGAAGAGCAUUCCAUCAGAGCAUUGCACCAUUCAAAGCACUUCAGCUGGGAACAAAAAGAACCUCCAGCAGCGACACACCUUAAGUGGUUUGCAGAUACUGGCAGACAGUCCAAACUGCUCUCUCCUUGGUGAUGAGAGGCUUCGGCAGGGAAAGGUCAGUGCUCCUGGCAGUGGGAGAACUGGUCCUAUGAGAUGUAAGGCUAUUAGUGCCAGCUUGCAAGAAAUACAAAGGAAACCAAGUAGCUGGAAGCAAUGCCAUCCAUGCCUCUGCCAGCAUCACAUCUCCACACCUCCACAUUGUCUCCCAAGAUCCAUAACCCCUCCAAGACACCCAAAGUAUGUAUCUACAGUAAUCAGUCUUACCUUGGCGCUUUGCAGUAACUCUUUGCUCCUUCUAUCUUCUACCAGCACCUACUUUCAUUGUGAGAUGAUGACCGCCCGCCACAGAGAGCUUUGUAAAAAGCUUAUGUUCAUGAAGGAAUUUGUAUUAGAUACUGGUUUGUGUGACUUACUGUAUUUUGUAAGGGUUUUUUUCCCUUUGGGAAUUGUGCGUUAUUAAUGAGCAGUUUUAUGCUUUACUUCUAGUACAUGUAUACCUUGUAAUUGAUGUGCUUUUUGUUUGUUUGUUUUAUUUUAUUCUCUAUACAGAGCCAGUUAAUAUAAGGUAGAUACUCUCUGGCUGAAAUUCUGAUUUUGCCUACCAAUUAAUUUAUGGAUAAUUCCUUGUCAUAGCUGAUGAACAACUGUUCAUCAAUUGUGUUGUUAUAAUCAUCUGAUAGCCUCUCUAGUUCAGCAGAAUAUAAGAUCCUGAAUAAGACCAAUGCUCAUUGGGCCUUAAACUAAAGGGAAAUAGUGUAUCACACGUGUUUCCCUACCACCAUCACUAUUGGCCCUUCUCCCUUAGCAUCUAGGACAUCGUAGAAGAGCACUGGCUAGACAGUCACUGGAACAUUUCAACCAUCUGUGUAGCUGUGCUCAAUACCCCUCUGCAUUUACCUGAUCAAAAUUAUGGUGAACCAGAUAAACUGCAAUGAAUUCUUCAACUGCUUUUGCAGAAAGAGACUGGUUCAAACACAAUCUUUCUCAAAAAUAAAAGACCUGGACUAAAAUAGAUAUAUUUUCCUCUGUGUCCAUCCUGGUAUGGUUGGAAAAAUAAGGGAUCUAAAAUUAACAUUUAAAGAAGUGUGUAAUUCCAUCAUACACCCCGUUUAACAAUGGCAGCUGUCUGUCUCAAUGGCUAUUAAUGACCUUUGUGCUCCAGAAGCCUCCUUCCUUGUCCAACUCAUUUUCUCUCUUCAGUUUCACCAAGAACUGAGUGUCCAACUUCUUAAUAAUUGCUGUGUAUAACAUAGGACAUAAAAAGAUAAGUUAUAAAGCUUGUGCAGGACUUGGUGUUGUAAUUAACCAUCUUUUGUGCCUGGUUAUCAAUCUUACAAAAAUACAGAGUGAAAACAAUCCGGCCUCUUAAGGUAUACUUCAGCAUAUUGUAGCAGCUAUUUUAGAUAACUGUUUUUAAUAGUUUUAUGAUGGCUGUGAUUUCUAAAGUCAGUUCUAUUUUGCCACCAGUGAUGGUGUAUGAUAAAUAAAGCAACAAAAACAAAACCUCACCCACCUGCCAGGAAGAAACAUCUUUUCUCAGCCUUGAAAAUUCUCUUGUAUAAGACAGGCAUUUCUUCUAGUCCUCCUUUUACAUAAAUAGUAAAUCACUAAGAAGAUAAUAUAUAGAGUAUGAUAGUCUAUUUUAAUAGUCAGCAGUCAAAUUUUAGGCUAAUUAAGCUAACUAGAAAUUCUAGGGUUGCAGUGAUUUCCCAUUCUUUAUUAAUACAUUGAUAAUAAUACCGUUUACAUAACACUCGAUGUUUGAAAUCAAUACGUGCCAGUGUCCAGUGGUUUGCUAAUCUAGUUUUUGAUCUAAUCCUGUCCUAUUUUUUGCAGCAUUCUCUAACUUCAUAUUAUGAAUCACAUUGUCUUUCUAAAGUGAUUGCCAAGUAAACCAAAAAUGUGUUUUACAAUGCUAUUGCACUGCUCUUGUCUUUAUAUACAGUAGUUUUUAUAAAGAUGUCAUUAGGUUUUAAUAAAUAAGUGUAACGUAAACUAAUCUCUGUAAUAAAACUUGCU